rnacentral:lncRNA from 1 species
CAAAGAAAAAACAAAUCAUAAAAUAAAAUCUGCACUUCCCACGUUCAUAGAGAAAAAAAAAAUCUUUAAAAAAAAGUAUUAAUUAGCAUAUGUUCUUGUGUGGGUUGAUAGUCCAGGGCUCUGAGCAGGCACAGCCUUAUAAACAGGGUUGCAAGCAGCCCGCUGCACACCAAGUCAGGACCAGGGUGCAGAGAGAGGCCUUCAUGCACUUCUGACAGCUCAGUACCUGUGAGAGAACAGAGGUGAUGCAGGGACUUCUUAACCCACAAUGCAUGAGGUAUAUGGAAACGUCCAUCCAUGAAAGAACCACCAGCAGCUGGAGAGACGAGGCGGGGCAUUCUCACAGCAACUGCUGAUGAAGGAUUUCCCACACCAUCUUCUUCCGGAACAGAGGCAUCUGGUGCUGCAGACAAUCCACAAGCAACAUAUCCAUCACAUGUGAAAGUGCCAGGGCCUCAACAACCAUUAGGUGUAGGAUGUAAAUAAAGUAGGGUGACUGUGUUCUUUAUGUAAGCCUUGACUGUGCUACCCCUUGGUACAGAUUUAUAGAGCCAUAAAAAAAGAAGGUUUAUAAUAUGUACUACUGUAUGCAUCAUAAGCAUUUUUACAUGUUAAGGAAAAUCAAAGCAGGAUGCAGAAUUAUAUAAGCGUCCAAUAACAGCUUCAUAACAAAAACAUGUACCAAAAAGGGAAACAGCCAAGUGGUAGCACAAAAAGUAACUUUUUUACUUAUCUGUAUUUUCAAACCAUUCUAAGAUGGACGCUUUUUGCUUUCUUAUGAGAAAAACAUGAACUCUACUUAAAUACAGAAAAAACAAGCCUAUAAGUUUCUGCUAUACCAAGUGUUUUCCAUUGCAAAUUCUGUUUCAAAUAGCAACUUCUCGCCUUCAAAUCUCAAGUCAAAUAAUAAAUAACUCCUUUUACUUAGAGGACUUCCUGGUAGCUCAGAUGGUAAAGUGUCUACCUACAAUGCAGGAGACCCGGGUUCAAUCACUGGGUUGGAAGAUCUCUUUAGACACAUCAAAAAAUGAAAUCUUUGGCUUAACAUUCUGCUUUAACUGAUAAUCAUCACAUGGGCCAACUUUCAAAGCAAAAACAAGCAAGACAAAUCCAAAAUCACCUAUGACUCUUCUGAUGAAAUCAGAAGUCUAUACCCUUGAGGUACUCCUGGUGUUUCAUUAUAAUUAUCUGGAUAUACCAUUUUCCUAUAAAAUAGUGUGGAGAGGCCUAAAAAGUCUUUAACACAUGGAUUUGUAAAUUAUUUUCAUAGCUCAAAACAUGUAGUAAAAAUAUUGCACAUUUAUUCUUAAUAAAACUGCUGAAGUUAACCAACUGUAUCAAUUCAGCAUGGGAUCCUUAGUGCAUUCUGUUCAAAAAACUGGAAUGGGAUUAAUAUUAGUCCUAUUAUUCAAUAUGUACAAUGUGGUAGCUAUCAAAAUGUGAGGUCUGUUAAAGCAAACUAGUUUUUAAAGGAGGUUGUCCUUUGUUGGAAAAAGACUGAGAAUCCACUAUUAUUAACAUAAAUUCUCAACAGUUCCCAACAUACUUGAAUUUCCACUCAAAUGCAGAGCUAUGGAGAACCAAAAAUUAUCAGAAUAGAAGGGAAAAGAAGCAUUCAUAGCUCUGUCUUAAACCUACAGCUUAAGUUCUCAUGAGGCCUGAUUUCUCCAUGCUAUUAAAUAUUCUAACAUGCCUCCUUUGGGUAAAAGUAUCAGUAAUACUUAAGAACCAUCAACACUGGAGUUCAGAGAUAUGAAAAUUGUUCCACUGGUCACCAACGACUAGGAUAAAAGAGAGCAUAUACAGCGACAAACCUGAUGUUAGCAAGGGCAGGACUAUGGCCAAGGUUUACAGCAAGAAUAGUAGCACAGCUACCAUGAUUAAGAGUUUAAUGCUCAGAGGUUAAAGCGUCUGCCUGGAAUGCGGGAGACCUGGGUUCGAUC